GACGAACCGUGCGAACGUUGUUCGGAAUCACUGGGCUUAAAGGGCGCGUAGGCGGGCCUUCAAGUCCGGGGUGAAAGCCUCCAGCCUAACUGGAGAAGAGCCUCGGAGACUGAGGGCCUCGAGGGAGGUAGGGGCAAGCGGAACUAUGGGUGGAGCGGUGAAAUGCAUUGAUAUCCAUAGGAACUCCGGUGGCGAAGGCGGCUUGCUGGACCUCUUCUGACGCUGAGGCGCGAAAGCCAGGGGAGCAAACGGGG
rnacentral:rRNA from 1 species